rnacentral:lncRNA from 10 species
CUUCUCCCCACCUCCUCACCCAGCCUCUGGUAGCCAUCAUUCUACUCUCUACUUCUGUGAGUACAACUUUUUUAGAUUCCGCAUAAAAGUGAGAUCAUGCAGUAUUUGCUUUUCUGUGCCUAGCUUAUUUAACUUUGCACAAUAUUCUCCACGUUCAUCCACAUUGUCACAAAUGACAAGAUUUUCUUCUUUUUUAAGACUGAAUAGUAUUCCAUUGUCUACAUGUACCACAUUUUCUUUAUCUAUUCAUCUGUUGAUGGACACAAGUUGAUUCCACAUCUUGGCUAUUGUGGACAGCACUGCCAUGAACAUAGGAGUCCAGAUAUCCUUUGGACAUAUUGAUUUCAAUUCUUUUGGACUAAUACCCAGAAGAGGGUUUGACUGACAUAUGAUAGUUCUAUUUUUAGUUUUUUGAGGAACUUCCAUUCAGUUUCCCAUAAUGGCUGUGAGUCUGGAGUUUGUUCCUGCCGGUGGGUUCGUGGUCUCGCUGACUUCAAGAAUGAAGCUGCAGACGUU